rnacentral:lncRNA from 1 species
ACAAUCUGCUGGGCCUGACUCCCAUGGUUUGGGGGACAUUUCUGUUCAUCAGCACUGGGUUUAAGAAUGCCUUAUGAAUGGAACCCUAAGGGUAUGGAACCUUUUGAGCCUCACUUCUUCCACUCAGCGUAAGGCCUCUGAUCCAGCCAGGUCAUUGUGUGUAAUUCACACUGAUUCAUCCUUCUUCUCUUUCUGAGUAAUAUUUCAUUGUUUGGACGUACGACAUUCUGUUUAUCCAUUCACCAGUUGAAGGACAUUUGGGUUCCUUCCAGUGUGGGGUGAUUUCGAAUAAAGCUGCUACAAAC